AGACCCGAAACCCGGUGAUCUAGCCAUGGGCAGGUUGAAGGUUGGGUAACACUAACUGGAGGACCGAACCGACUAAUGUUGAAAAAUUAGCGGAUGACCUGUGGCUGGGGGUGAAAGGCCAAUCAAACCGGGAGAUAGCUGGUUCUCCCCGAAAGCUAUUUAGGUAGCGCCUCGUGAAUUCAUCUCCGGGGGUAGAGCACUGUUUCGGCCAGGGGGCCAUCCCGGCUUACCAAUCCGAUGCAAACUGCGAAUACCGGAGAAUGUUAUCACGGGAGACACACGGCGGGUGCUAACGUCCGUCGUGAAGAGGGAAACAACCCAGACCGCCAGCUAAGGUCCCAAAGUCAUGGUUAAGUGGGAAACGAUGUGGGAAGGCCCAGACAGCCAGGAUGUUGGCUUAGAAGCAGCCAUCAUUUAAAGAAAGCGUAAUAGCUCACUGGUCGAGUCGGCCUGCGCGGAAGAUGUAACGGGGCUAAACCAUGCACCGAAGCUGCGGCAGCGACACUGAUGUGUUGUUGGGUAGGGGAGCGUUCUGUAAGCCGUUGAAGGUGUGUCGUGAGGCAUGCUGGAGGUAUCAGAAGUGCGAAUGCUGACAUAAGUAACGAUAAAGCGGGUGAAAAGCCCGCUCGCCGGAAGACCAAGGGUUCCUGUCCAACGUUAAUCGGGGCAGGGUGAGUCGACCCCUAAGGCGAGGCCGAAAGGCGUAGUCGAUGGGAAACGGGUUAAUAUUCCCGUACUUGGUGUUACUGCGAAGGGGGGACGGAGAAGGCUAUGUUGGCCGGGCGACGGUUGUCCCGGUUUAAGCGUGUAGGUGUGUGUUCCAGGUAAAUCCGGUUCACUUUAACACUGAGGCGUGACGACGAGGCACUACGGUGCUGAAGCAACAAAUGCCCUGCUUCCAGGAAAAGCCUCUAAGCCUCAGGUAACAUCAAAUCGUACCCCAAACCGACACAGGUGGUCAGGUAGAGAAUACCAAGGCGCUUGAGAGAACUCGGGUGAAGGAACUAGGCAAAAUGGUGCCGUAACUUCGGGAGAAGGCACGCUGACACGUAGGUGAAGUGGUUUACCCAUGGAGCUGAAGUCAGUCGAAGAUACCAGCUGGCUGCAACUGUUUAUUAAAAACACAGCACUGUGCAAACACGAAAGUGGACGUAUACGGUGUGACGCCUGCCCGGUGCCGGAAGGUUAAUUGAUGGGGUCAGCGCAAGCGAAGCUCCUGAUCGAAGCCCCGGUAAACGGCGGCCGUAACUAUAACGGUCCUAAGGUAGCGAAAUUCCUUGUCGGGUAAGUUCCGACCUGCACGAAUGGCGUAAUGAUGGCCAGGCUGUCUCCACCCGGGACUCAGUGAAAUUGAACUCGCUGUGAAGAUGCAGUGUACCCGCGGCAAGACGGAAAGACCCCGUGAACCUUUACUAUAGCUUGACACUGAACACUGGUCCUUGAUGUGCAGGAUAGGUGGGAGGCUUUGAAGUGUGGACGCCAGUCUGCAUGGAGCCAUCCUUGAAAUACCACCCUUUAAUGGCUGGUGUUCUAACGUGGACCCGUAAUCCGGGUUGCGGACAGUGUCUGGUGGGUAGUUUGACUGGGGCGGUCUCCUCCUAAAGAGUAACGGAGGAGCACGAAGGUUGGCUAAUCCUGGUCGGACAUCAGGAGGUUAGUGCAAUGGCAUAAGCCAGCUUGACUGCGAGCGUGACGGCGCGAGCAGGUGCGAAAGCAGGUCAUAGUGAUCCGGUGGUUCUGAAUGGAAGGGCCAUCGCUCAACGGAUAAAAGGUACUCCGGGGAUAACAGGCUGAUACCGCCCAAGAGUUCAUAUCGACGGCGGUGUUUGGCACCUCGAUGUCGGCUCAUCACAUCCUGGGGCUGAAGUAGGUCCCAAGGGUAUGGCUGUUCGCCAUUUAAAGUGGUACGCGAGCUGGGUUUAGAACGUCGUGAGACAGUUCGGUCCCUAUCUGCCGUGGGCGCUGGAAGAUUGAGGGGGGCUGCUCCUAGUACGAGAGGACCGGAGUGGACGCAUCACUGGUGUUCGGGUUGUCAUGCCAAUGGCACUGCCCGGUAGCUACAUGCGGAAGAGAUAAGUGCUGAAAGCAUCUAAGCACGAAACUUGCCCCGAGAUGAAUCUUCCCUGAGCCUUUAAGGCUCCUGAAGGAACGUUGAAGACGACGACGUUGAUAGGCCGGGUGUGUAAGCGCAGCGAUGCGUUGAGCUAACCGGUACUAAUGAACCGUGAGGCUUAACCUUACAACGCCGAAG
rnacentral:rRNA from 2 species